rnacentral:rRNA from 1 species
UACAGAGGUCUCGAGCGUUAGGCGGAAUCACUGGGCUUAAAGCGUGUGUAGGCGGAUUGCUAAGUACCUUGUGAAAUCCCACGGCUUAACCGUGGAACUGCUUGGUAUACUGGCUGUCUUGAGCCACUUAGGGGCAACCGGAACAAACGGUGGAGCGGUGAAAUGCGUAGAUAUCGUUUGGAACGCCAAUGGUGAAAACAGGUUGCUGGGUGUGUGCUGACGCUGAGACACGAAAGCCAGGGGAGCAAACGGG